UACGUAGGGACCAAGCGUUGUUCGGAUUUACUGGGCGUAAAGGGCGCGUAGGCGGCUUGACAAGUCACUUGUGAAAUCUCCGGGCUUAACUCGGAACGGCCAAGUGAAACUGUCAUGCUAGAGUGCAGAAGGGGCAAUCGGAAUUCUUGGUGUAGCGGUGAAAUGCGUAGAUAUCAGGAGGAACACCAAUGGCGAAGGCAGCUCGCUGGGACGUGACUGACGCUGAGACGCGAAAGCGUGGGGAGCAAACAGG
rnacentral:rRNA from 1 species